rnacentral:rRNA from 1 species
CCUUCUUAUCCGCCUGGCCCCUGUCUGCUCGGUUUUGGGUUGGGGUGACCGCGGAGCAUAAAAUAGCCUCCACGAAAGAAGGGAUGAUUCCCUCAUUUUAGAACUACACUUCCAAAGACUAACAAAUUAAUUUUAAGUGAUCCGAUACCCGUAUUCGAUCAACGAACCAAGUUACCCUGGGGAUAACAGCGCAAUCUACCUCAAGAGCCCCUAUCGACAGGUGGGUUUACGACCUCGAUGUUGGAUCAGGGUAUCCCAGUGGUGCAGCAGCUACCAAAGGUUCGUUUGUU